rnacentral:rRNA from 1 species
UACGUAGGGUGCAAGCGUUGUCCGGAAUUAUUGGGCGUAAAGAGCUCGUAGGCGGUUUGUCGCGUCUGCUGUGAAAACGCGAGGCUCAACCUCGCGCCUGCAGUGGGUACGGGCAGACUAGAGUGUGGUAGGGGAGAUUGGAAUUCCUGGUGUAGCGGGGGAAUGCGCAGAUAUCAGGAGGAACACCGGUGGCGAAGGCGGGUCUCUGGGCCGAUACUGACGCUGAGGAGCGAAAGCGGGGGGAGCGAACAGG